AUGUCUCCAUAGCUCAGUUGGUAGAGCAAGGGACUUUUAAUCCUUGGGUCCACGGUUCGAGUCCGUGUGGGACAUA
rnacentral:tRNA from 1 species